GCCAGCAUGGUGCAGUGGUUUGAGCUUUGGACUAGGAUUCUGAAGACCAGGGUUCGAAUCCUGGCUUGGCC